rfam:Frischella perrara strain PEB0191, complete genome.
UGUAUGGUGUAUAAAUUCCGUUGUAUAACAACCAUUUAUAUAGCGAUACAAACAUAAAAGAGGC